ACAUUAAUUUAGUAAUGUUGGUAAGACUGUUACGUAAAAUAAUCUCGCGUGUGGUUAAAGUGUAGUUAGACAAGUUUAUUAUUAUCGUUCAAUAAAAAGGUUUAAAAUUAAAAACAAUCAUGAGAUUAACUAAUUAUUUAUUUAAAAGAGUUGCAGAAUGGACGAAGAAAUAUUCUAAUUUACCUGACUCCUACAUAGACCGUACCAUGCGACAAGUUUAUUGGAGAACUCCUAGAAAAGUUCAAUAUCUUAACCGUACUCAUGAGCGUAAACGUUAUUGGUUUUCCAUUCAUAAACCUUGGACGACUCAUUUUAAGGUAGAAAAUUCUAAAAUGGGAUUGCCCCCAGCUAUUCCCGUUGAGCCUAUCAAAGAUUGGAGUUUUUUCCGUGGCGACAGAGUUGAAAUAUUAGUAGGAAGAGAUAAAGGUAAACAAGGUAUAGUCAAAGAAAUAAUACAGGAAAGAAAUUGGGUCAUUGUCGAAGGUCUUAAUACUAAAUUGGAGUGUAUAGGAAAAACUAAAACGUUUCCUGGAAUAUUCAUGGCAACUGAAAAACCGUUAUUAGUUACUACCGAUAUCGCUUUGGUCGAUCCUCAUGAUUUAAAUGGAACCAAGAUAGAAUGGAGAUAUACAGAAAUGGGUGAGAAAGUACGCGUAUCCAUUAGAACCGGUAGAAUUAUUCCGAUUCCUGAAUCCGCACUAGAAACUAUAGAUUAUAAGAGUCCUCGGCUUUACAAAGAUCAAAGUAAAGAUACGUCUAAGGAUGAUGUAGAAGCAGUAACAUUCAAACCAGCAUUAAAAACUUUCGAAAUGGAUAUUAUGGAAAAAAUGGGUAUUCAGGAAGAUCGUAUACCUAAGAAAGUAUAUUGGUAUUAGAGUAUAUUAUAUUAAUAUGGCCUCACCAUUGGCGAUCUGCGAACCAUCGGAUUGGCUGUUGUGACCGAUCGAAUUGGAGAAAUUUCUGUUUGCAGAUUUGUCGUCUAAAUUCGUUUCAAAAUAAUUCUUUUCGGUUCUCGAACCGAGAACGUUGUUGCUGUCGUUGUUUAAUACUUUGAAGUUAUCCUUAACGUUGAAAGAUUUUUUAUUAUCGUUUUCGUACAAACGAAAACUAUUAUUUUCGGUAAUAUUAUUAUUAUUAUUAUUAUUAAUAAUCGUCGUAGUAGUCGACAUAGUGGAAGUAGUUGUAGCGGUUAUAGCAGUCGUCGAGUUAGUUGGAAAUCUGUAUUCGUGUUGAGUCGCGUUAUCGUUAGCAAAUUCUUGAUAUGCUGCUGGAAACUCGUCCCCAUCUGGGGGCAGCCGUUGACCGCCUCCACAAUUGUCCAUUCUAUCAUUUACCGAAUCUGAAAAAGAGAGACUAAAUUCAAAUAUAUGCGUGCAUAUAUUGUAUCAUACGCGUGUUAGCAGCGUAGGAUGUUAUUUAUAUACACGUAUUCCCAGAUAUGGGAAUUGUGUGUGUAUCCUGUGUUCAAAUUUAUAGAUCGUUCGAGUCGUAUAUUUGCUGGGCUACAAGAUUUUAAGCCAUCUUACCAAAAUAAAAAAAAAUAAAAAUAAUCUUUUUAUAAUUAAUUUACAGUUGCAGUCUUGAAAAACAUUCGAAUGCUUUCCGAUAUUAUUUAUACGUUUGUUAUUUUAUUUGUUUUUAACGUUUCAUAUCAUAUUUGAGUUAAUUUUAUUUUUCAAACAAAUCAUAUUCCGAUCAUUCGAUCGGAUUUAGGGUUGAGCUCGUGUGAUUUAUAUUCUCGAUAAAUCAAAUGACGGAAGAAAAUAAUCAGAGGCAGAAGAAGAAUAAGAAGAAUAAGAAGAAGAAGAAGAAGAAAAAAAGGUAAUCGGUUAGGAUGUGAAAUAAAGUUAAAGUUCGAAUUCCGUUAUGAAAGGAUCAUUCGAUUCGAUCGAACGAUUUUAAGGGGAACAUUCAGGACUCCUCCGAUGUUCUUGAAUUUCCUGGUUCUCGGAGCUUCCAAAGGAUAAGAAUUUUGUAUCGUUUUUUUUUUUUGUCCUUUCCUUGUUGCAUAUAUGUGUGCAUGUGUGUACGUGUGUGUGUGUGUGUGCAUGAGAGAAGAGAGAAGUGUGACAAAGAGAACCCCAUGGUGCACAGGGGCUAUUAGCAACUAACGGUGCAUUAUCAUCUUCGCAUUCCUGGGAAUCCUUCCUACGAUUCGCUUUUAACUGCGAAUCGGGUUCUUCGUGAGCAAGCAAGUAUAUAAGCAAGCAAGUAAAGGAAGAAAGGAAGGAAGGAAGGAAGGAAGGAUGGAUGGAUGGAAGGAGUAAAACGGCCCUUCUCCUUUAACCAAAGAUGGCUGCAAACUCGAAGGACACGCUUGGAGACGUAGCGUAAUCGCGAAUGGGAGAGAUGUCCCAUUCUCCAAAAAGAAACGAAUGAGAGAACAAAAAAGAAAAUAAAAUAAAAGAAAAGAAACGCUUAAAAAGAAUAUAAAUGAGAGUUAUAAAGAGGUAGAUGAGAAAAAGUCAUUUUACGUCAUUUUGGGAUCCCUCGUGAAAUAAAUUGAACUUAGAGAUUAUUUCAAAAUUAUUUAAAAUUAAUAGUCUAAUUAAUAUUCUCGUUAUUUAUUUAUUUAUAUUCAUUUUUAUUUGAAAAUUCGAACGUUUGAAGGCUCGCGUAGAAAGAAGAAUGCAAUGAACUAGCCGUUAACUUGGUAAAAAUAAAUGUCAAGUUGAAACUUGACAAAGUGCAUACCCAAGUAAACGUUUCUUAUGGGAUUCCUAUCAACUAAAAUCGCGAACCAGUUAAUCUCCGCAUUCCUAUACGUCGGGAUAAAAGUUUAACUUCGCGGACUUAUGGCUUUUUCUUAUCGCCGUUCGGUUCCUUGGAAAAGCAAUGCUCGAUCCGAAUGAACAGCUUCUUGGUUAAUGAUCAAUAUGUAUGCGUACGAGAGUGCAAGAAACGUGUGUUAAUACCAAUAAGAAACUAACAUAUAUAUAUAUAUAUUUAUACAAGGUGUUUCAAAAUGAGCAUAUAUUCAAGGGCUGAUUUUAGUAGUUUAAAAAUAGAAAAAAAAAGAAUAAGAAUCGUUUAUACAAUCAUACACCUUUGAUAUAUGACCCUGAAUUACAUCUGUGUUUUGUCUUCCAAUAUAAUUCAUAUUACUUUACCAACUGUGUUUCCUUUCAAUUAUUUACGAUAAUUAAGCUUCUUAUCUCACGUUCUCGACUAAUUCAAACAACACCUGGUAUUUUUGUACGAACGAGAAAAAUCUACGAUAAGAAGAGACACAUUCUUGGUAGUUUAAAUUAAAAAUCUAUAAUGUGAGAGCCAGUUGGGAGUAGUUUCUAUGAAAAUAAUGUUGCAACGUGUGUAAUAUAAACAAUGAUUAUAAUUUGGGAACAAAGUUAUAUCGUGGGGGCCCCAUGAAUUUAUUUUUUCUUAUUUUAGAGUCUACCAAAACUACCCCUUGAAAUUUUGUCUAGAUAUUUUGAAACACUCUGUAUAAAUAUAUAUAUAUGUAUUUUAUAAUGUAUGUGCAUUCGUGUGCAUUCGUGUUAACGGCCGAUCGGACCAUAUUUGUACCGAUAUCAGGGACAACGUGCGUCACCAUAUGUACAUAUUAGAGGUGGCAUCUCAGAAGUCGUUGAAGAAAACUGUUGCCGGUGUGUCCAAGUCGACUGUCGUUGUUAAGGAUACCUCGCAGAGGGACCAAACAAGAAGAAUAAGAA
rnacentral:misc_RNA from 1 species